AGAACCACAGAUUCAAAAUACACUUUUAAGCAACUCAAAAAGAAGCGCUUAAGUUUUUAAGCACUUAAAAACCUGCCGCUAUUCGGGAGUUUACAAGGAACUGAAGCUGGGAAUAUGCUUACCGCAGAAGCCAGCUGCUCCUCUGUCAUGUCCUCCACAAAGACGGGCCGAGCAAUGGGCUCUUCUGGGAGCGCAUCUGCAGAGCCCAUCAUUAAUAAGGUCAUCCCAUCUUUUAUUUUUAUGUUCCCCCAGUCAUCAUCCUUCAGGGUUCCUCCUCUAAGCAUGACCUUCUGUCGAGCUGGCUGAACUCCGGUCAGGGCAAACAGCUGAGCCUUGAAGACCAUUGGAGGCUCAUCCGUGUUCAGCUCCACACCAUCGAAUUUCUCUUUUCC
rnacentral:lncRNA from 1 species